GUAAGGGUUUUAUUUGCUUUCUUGGUCAAACACGGUGAUACAUGCAGUUGGCACAAAACUUGCUAGGCAUUAGUGUCUUAAACAUGGACAGAAACCGAAAUGUCCGCAUAGCAAUGAGGGCAAACAUGUCCUCCAUCCCUAUACAAACCCAAGAGGGAAGGGCAGAAGAGGGGGAGGCAGAGCCCGUGUGGCCUUGUUCAGCUCAGGCUCUCUGUAAACCCUAAAAAAGCUGCAGCCGCCUUCGCCUUUGUUCUUGUGAUGUUUUUUUUUCCUUCAUGUUUCGGUCUCACAGCACCAGGCAUAGAAAAGUCAGUGUGGUUAGCAUGGCCAGGUGGGGGAAACUAGAGAAGCACACAGAUGAAGGGAAACACAGACACAAUCCAUACGUGCACAGAGCUUUCUCAGCUCCCAGCUGUGCUCCCACCCAGCACAGACAGCAGUGCAGACACCGAUGGGACCCUGAUUUCUUGCAGCACCAGACCAGCGUUAGCAAUGCUCACCCAGGGCACUCAUCCCCAAAAAGGUUAGAUUGUGACAUGAAAGUCAUAAACUUUUGCAGUGCUAAGGAAGGGGAAAAGUCCCACCCAGAGCAGUUUCAGUAUUUUUCAUGUUGUCCUCUAACACAUCCUCAUCACAGGCUUCUUACAGCUAUUAAAAGUAUUCCUUUACAUGAAAGCACUACCAGAUGACUGACCCAGUGGUAUUCUGGUGUUGAUGCAGUGAUCUAUGCUGUGUGUCUCAGUGAAUGCAUAUGUCAGUGAGGGCAUAUUUAGUACUGUCCAAGCACCAUUCAGAAUGUUCCUUUCAGAAUAACUGUACCCAAGCGUGUGAAACAUCUGGCUGCUU
rnacentral:lncRNA from 7 species